rnacentral:rRNA from 1 species
GAUGAACGCUGGCGGCAUGCCUAACACAUGCAAGUCGAUCGGUAAGGCUCUUCGGUGUACCCGAGAGGCGGACGGCUGAGUAACGCGUAGGAACACACCCUGCAGUGAGGGAUAAGACACCGAACGGCGUUCUAAUACCGCAUACGGUCUUCGGAUUAAAGCAUUUCUGCGCUGAAGGAGUGGCCUGCGUCAUAUUAGAUAGUUGGUGAGGUAAUGGCUCACCAAGUCGAUGAUGUGUAGCUGGUCUGAGAGGAUGAUCAGCCAGACUGGAACUGAGACACGGUCCAGACUCCUACGGGAGGCAGCAGUGAGGAAUAUUUCACAAUGAGCGAAAGCUUGAUGGAGCAAUGCCGCGUGCAGGAUGAAGGCCCUCGGGUUGUAAACUGCUUUUAUAAGAGAAGAUUAUGACGGUAACUUAUGAAUAAGGGACGGCUAACUACGUG